rnacentral:lncRNA from 1 species
CCGGGCACGCAGCCGCGUCGCCCGCCGGCCGCAGUUUCGCUUUUGGCUCCCGCGCUGUGCUCCCGGCAGCGGCUCCCUCCGCGGCUCCCUCCGGGCUGAGCGAGCUCUAGACCCCGGCCCGCCCGCCCGCCGCGCCGCCUCCCUUCGCAUCUGGCCGGACCCCUCGGCCCGACGGCCACGGUGAGCUCACGGGCGCCUCCCCGGCCCUGGCGGCACCCCCGGGCGCUGCCCCGCGCCGGCGGGGUGCGCCCUACCCGGAAGCCCUGCCGCUCCAGACCUGCAGGCCGGGUCUGCGCCGGACUCCGAGGUGGGCCCUCCGGGCACGGAGACCCCGGCUGGCCCUGUGGCCCAUCCUCCCACUUUGGCAGGUCCUGAGCCCCGGGCUCCCUCCCACUGGCCAGGUGGCCUGUGUGGCUCGGGCCUGUUUUGCCCUCUGACCCCUGAAGUCUCAGCCCGAGACAGGUGGCUCAGGGAGCUGCUGGGGAGAAGGCCCAGGAGACACAGCCAGGAUGGGGAGACUGCCUGGCCUUGCCGUGGACCCCUCCGCCAAGUGCCCUGGAGGCGGAGGCGCCUGCUCCUUCCUCUUCCCUCGGAGCUCCUCAGACAGGAAGGCGCUACCCAUUCGGGAACCCUAAGCCUUGUCGGGUUAAUUGCUGUAUGACCCUCAGCAGGUGGACUAGGGCUGCCUGCAACACAGGUAGCCCCAGUAGCCACAAAAGGACCACGUGGAUAGCUUGAAUCCUGCUGAGGGUCAUGAGUGAUGGUCCUGCCUGGAGUACUCACGGCCCUGGAGAGAUGUAGACAAGCAGGGGACAGGGUGGAUACUGUUUUGCUAUGGGUUGAGUAGUGGUCAGGGGCAGGAGCUUUCUCCCAGCCACAAGGUCUCAGGACUAGUUCUGGAGGGACUGAGGUCCCAGGUUCUGAGGCAUUCAAGCACAAACUCAACCAAUACCCUUCUCAGGAGUAUGCCUUCAGCCUUUGAGCGGUUGGUCCGGAGCGUGGUCCGGGAGCUGGACCACAGCAGGGAGCUCAUCCCAGUGGACAGUCUUCAGAGCUCCACCAGCUACCAGCCUUACAGACUGCUGAGCAGGAAGUCCCCAAGCUCCUGGUUCUGGAGACCUCGUUAUACCUGUGUCAACCUGUCAAUCAAGGACAUUUUGGAGCCUGAUGCCCCAGAACCAGGUAUCCAGGGAGAAGAAAGGAGUGGCCUGGCCACACCUGCCACCUGCUAGGCUCACCAGCUCUGGGCCUCUGGCCCUGUUUGCAGAGGGUUGGCCUUUUCAAAGGUCCCACUGCCUGCGGGUGGGACAGGACAGUAGCAGGUGGGACAGGCCCCAUGCUCAGGUCUGGUCUUGCUUCAGAGUUGGAGCGUAGUGGCCCUUUCCACUUCUAUGACGCUGUGGACGGCCAGCUGCAGGGCAGUGUGGAGCUGGGAGCCCUGGGACAAGGGAAGAUCUCAGGUGGAGCUGCAGUGUCCGGCAGCUCCAGUGCUUCCAUGAACGUGUGCACGCUGCGUGUGGACCCAAACACUUGGGAGAUCAUGCAACAGGAGAGGUGAGCUCUGGAGGGACUGAGGUCCCUGACCCUGUGCAGCCACACAUAUGGGGAGGCCACUGGGUCAUGGACAUCAGGAGAAUCCCAAGGCCAUGCCUGUGUGCCAGCAAGGAGAGUCUAAGAUGCAAGGGAGCGCUGUGGCCAUGGUGGGCUGCCAGGGAAGGAGGCGGCACAGUCACCCAGACCUCAGUUGCAAGGACAUAUCAUGAAGGCAGGGACCUGGGGAUCAAACUGAGCCUCAGGCUCAGUGUAGAGGAGAGUAAAGGCUAGCGGGUGCCCCGGGGUCCCAUGGGUCCACUUCUCCCUGCUGGACCUCAUCCCUCCUCUUCACACCCACCUAGACACUGUUGGGAGUACCCAGGAAGGGUACCCAUGCCUGGCAUCUGCAGACUCCCAGAUGCCCUUGCCACUUCACCCCACCCAUCGUGGGGCAGUGGGGAGGCCAGUCUGUGGUGGACAUACCCCAGUGAGCUUCCUGCAGGCGCCUGCGGCAGCCCGAACACAAGAUCCUGGAGCAGCUGAGGAAUCGCAGGGACAAUGUGUAUGUGGUGACGGAGGUGCUACAGACCCAGGAAGAGGUGAAGGUCACCCAAACCCGCAAGAAGGAGGGCUCGGGCCAGUUUGCACUGCCUGGAAACAUGUGCCUUCAGGUGUGUGGCCGGCCCUCAGCCCAUCUUGGCCUGACAUGAACGCAGGGUGGCAGCAGGCGAGGUUUUGCCAAGAGCCCUGCAGGAGCAGUUCACAGCCCCACGCUUGACCCAGGGCUCCCCAAAGCCUGGGUUGGCUGACACCAGUAGCAAGCUUGUUACUAGCACCCAGCCCACACCACACCCCACGUCCCCACACCUAGGGCCCAGUCCUGCUAUGUCUAUUCGUCCCUCAGGGUGAGAGCCAGGGCCACCUGAGCCGGAAGAAUACGGUCACCGUCCCUGCAGGCAGCACCCUUGCAUUUCGAGUGGCCCAACUCAUCAUUGGCUCUGACUGGGGUCAGUAGAGCUGGGGAUGUCUCUGGGGCCCAGACGCCAUGGAGAGGUGGAAGGCCUUGGGAGGGCCACCAGCUGCCUAGGGGCUGCUGCAGGCAUCUGCUGCUCAACCUCCCAGGGCUCUGGUGUGUGGAAGACUGAGGCAAGGCCUCACCUGGGGAGGGGGCCUGUGCAGGAGGGGAUCCUGGUGACCUCCUUCCCCUCUCUGCUCCCACCCAUCGCCAGACAUACUCUUCUUCCCGGAUGAGAAGCAGAGGACCUUCCCACGGUCCCCCAAAGGUGAGCCCUGCCUGUCCAAAGGGAGAACCCUUCCUUUGCUAUUAAGGCCUUCUCCUGUGUUCAGGACCCGUGGUGCUGGACAGCCUCCCCAAAGGACAGGCUCCUCGUUUGCACACACAGGGGUCACAUCCAGGUGUCACGGCCCUCUGUGGUCUCACACCUGCUCUGGGCUGCCAGCGUUGGGGAUGGGGCCAGGGAGGAAGGCCUCAGCCCUCUUCGGCUCAGGGACCUACUCUGGCACUAAGCCAUGCUGUCCUCCCUCCCCUGUCCUCACACCUCUGCCCAGGCCACAAACCUCCCCGAGGGGCAGGCAGCUCACUGAAGCAAGCCUUCAGACUCUCCUCCAUGUUAGAGUCCAUCCACGACCGCCUCAAGUUCCUGUCAGGUUUGUGAACUUUUGAUACCUCUUGGACCCCUGUGGGCUCUCCUUCUGCUCCUGGGGUGUGCCCUUCCUGUCCAGGGCUCUCCAGGGCUCUCUGUCCCCAUAGAUGGGCCACUUGAAGAGCUGGUUGUCACUGAAGACUUCCAGGGCCUGCAGGCAGAGGUGCAGGCUGGCUCUGAGGAACUGGAGCACAUGGAAAAGAACCUGAGACAGCAGCUGCUGGGGGCCCUGGGGAGGAUCCUCAAGGACCCGCUGGCCCUGCAAGCUUUAGAGUCCUCAGUAAGUGGGGCUGUGUGGGGGUGGAAGGGUCUGCCCAGCCAGCUCAGGCUCAUGCACCCUGUCUGUGCCCCAGCUGGAGCAGGGCCUAUGCUAUGGCGGGCAAGUGGAGCAGCUGGAUGGCCCGGCAGGUGCUGUCCUCGAGUGCCUGGUGCUCCCCUCCAGGACGCCUGUGCCAGAACUUGCCGCCCCUGUCUUCUACUUGUUGGGGGCGCUGACGGGUGAGUGACCUCUGGGGAGUAGAUGUGGGACAGAGGGAAGGACUAGGUUCCCCACUAGGCCUCCCUGAGCCCCCUCUCAGACCAUGUCUCUCCCCAGUGCUGAGUGAAACGCAGCGUGAGCUGCUGGCUGACUUGCUGGAGACAGGGACCCUGUUGGAGCAGCUCAAGCUGGUGAGAGGGCACAGCAUGGGGGCUGGAAUGGGCCCUGGGACACCUGUAAGGGCAGAGCAUGCCCAGGGACUCAGGACUAGCUCUUCCACCCAUAACCUCCUACCCUCCUGCAGGUGGAGCACCUCUUGCAGCAGAGCACCCCAUGGCAGGAGCAGAAGGCUGUGUCCUUGCCCCCUGGGCUCCUUGGGAGUAGCUGGGGCAAGGAGGCCCCAGGGUGGACCCUGCUGGAGGAAUGUGGCCUGGUGCUGCAGGUGGGCGCCCCCCAUGUGUGCUGGGAACCUCAGGCCCAGGGCCCCACGUGUGCGCUCUAUGCCUCCCUGACCCUGCUGUCAGGGCUACAUGAGGAGCCCCGUUAACCUGCACGCUGGGCAGCUCUCCAGCCAGGCACCCCCCUGCCAGCCCUAGGAAGGCUGAAAGCCCAUUUAACUACAGGGCCAGCUCACUCAGAGGCCCAGGAGUUGGGAAAACUCAAUAAAUAUGAUGUACAAAGG